ACAGUCAUGUUACAUUGAAAACACCGGUUCUCAUCCAAUCACUGAAGUUAAGCAACAUUGAGCCUGGCCAGUACCUAGAUAGGUGACCACUGGGGAUUACCAGGUGCUGUAAG